UCUUUGUUGUUUUCUUAAAUUCUUGAAAUAAUCAAAUUUUGUGAACCCAGCAUUAGGUCGCCAGCUAGGAUAGAUGGCAAUAGAUAUCUAACGUCCCCAGCACCAUUUAUUGAGGGUCUCCUUCUGAGCUCUGUUCUCCUCCAUGGUUGACGUCUGUCUGUAUUCCAGUACCGUGCAGUUUUACGGUAGCUUCGUAGUCAAUUUUGAAAUCAGGCAGUAGGGUCUGUCAGAUCAGUCGGGGCAGGCAAUGGCCAAAGGAGGCAGAUUUAAAAGGGCCGCUGAACAGGCUUUAUUGAGAUAUCACUCCCGGGCGGAACUCCAUCAGACCCACAGAGGGGACAGGGGAGGGGUCUGAGGAGAAACCGCGUGGAGGCUCCACCGGACUGGACUUUUAUGGGGCUUACAGCAGGAAGGGCAGGGCUUGGGACAGGAAAAGGUGUUUCUAGGGUCCCUUGCCCCCUUGAAGUUGGUCAGGGGAGUUGGCUGAACUCCAGGACUGGCCAGGGGGUCCUGCUGAUUGACAGGCGUUAGUCAGGAGAGCUGGCUGAUUGACAGGUGUUGCCGCCGGCAUCUGAUUGAUGUUCUUUUCUGGCGGAGGCUGCUUUGUUCUAAGUCGCCACCAAGUCGCCGCCAAGUCGCCGCCACCAACCUAACAUUCCAGCCUUUUUGGUGAUAUAGGGCGGUGAAUUUUGUCUGGCUACUUCCUGCUUGUUUAGGGGCGUCGUAGGGGGGAGUGGCUCGGGUGUAGGUUCGGUGGGGAGGUGACUGUAGGGGUGUAGGAGCAUCUGGUUGUAGGUCACUCUGGCAAUUUCACUCACGAGCUUUCGAGCGAACCUAAGGAGGCAGGGAGCAAUCAUUAGUAAAAGCCCUAUUACUAAAAUAGGAGUGAGAAUGGGAGUCAGCCACACAACGAGGGUUGAGUUUAGCCAGCCUGGCCAGGGGUCAUUUGAUGGCUGCUGUUUAAGCCUUUCACCCAAAGGACGGCGGGUGUCAACAUUCUCUUCGACCAAUCCAGUUUCAUUGAUAUAAUAGCAGCACUCUUCUUUCAGGAACAGACAGUUUCCUCCUUUAUGUACUGUCAGGAGAUCUAGAGCUCAACGGUUCUGCAAUGCGACUUGGGCAAGAGAUGUUAUUUGCCUUUGUAGGGAAGUUAGAAGUGGCUGAUGCUUCUCCUGCUUCCCGAAGUUGUUGUUCAAGCUUCUGAGUAGUGGUUACUGCAUAACCAAGUCCUCCUGCCCCGAGUUCAGAGGCAGCGAGGGAGGAGGCCAGGGAGAGUCCAACUACUACUGGUAGAAAGACAGCCCUUCUUGUCCUGGAAAGGGAAGUGGUGACAAGCCAUGUUAACUCAGCCUCUCUGUACAGAGUUAAUUGGGGACCAAGGUGGAAGGAACACAAAAAGGAAACGGCAUGUUGAGACUUAGACUUUUUGUUAGGGUACCAUUGCACCAGAAAAAUAACCCAGGGGGAGCAAAGGGUUAAGGAAGAAAUUCGAACAAUCUGGUCACAGGGUGCAGAACCUGAGGAAGUGUAGCAGCAAGAGAAGUUCCCUGAUGAGUUACGAAAAAGAGGUACUUCCUCAAAGGCUGGAGAGGGAGGUCCUUGGGGUCUAGAUGAGGUAUUGAGCAGAAAAUCAAUGGGAAUCGCAGUCAGUGGAGUACGAUCCAAACCUGCGCAGAGGAAACAGUCUAAAAUGUUAUUUACUUUGGACAAAUUGAGAAGCUGAAGGCCCUGACGUAUUAGGGCCACCCAUGAGAAAGGGUCAGCUUCAGGAUGGGCACCUGCAUCCAGCUGGUGUUGGAGUUCCCUCUCUUGCUCCUGGAUGGUUAUGUGAAUUUGAGGGAGCACUUGUAUAUAAGUUCUCCAUAUUCUGAUAGAGGCUGAGGGGUGUUUGGCAAAACCCCACGAAUAAAAUUUACCAUCAACACCAGAAGCCCAUUUUGGGUUCCAUGGGUCCCAAAUAGUCAAUUUGGUGUAUGCUCGAUUCUCAUAGCAAGGCUUAUCUAGGAAGCGUCUCUUGCAUGAAUUAUAAGGGCACCCGCCAUAGGUGUCAGGCCAGUGCUCACAAGAUUCCUCAGUUUGGUCUGAUAUGAAGCAUAGCAUUGCUGAACAUAAGUGGGGUGAGGUGGCCCGGUUGAAUCCAGUAACAUUAAGGGUGACAGCCCGAUUACAGCCAGUGAAAGGGCAAUCGCCUUGGCCCAUAAACUGAGAGCGGGUGGUGCCAUCCUGUUGCCAUGUCUCUUGGAUGUAGAAGCGCCAUCUGUGGGUUGGGAUAGAAGCUUGAGAGAGAGUAAUGAUUAGUAAAAGAAGGAGAGGGUUGGCGAGAAACUUCCAGUUUGGUGGGCCCCAGCAUGGAAGUAUGAUUGUAUGGGGUCGUUGGGGGAUGGGGAGCCUCCAAGUGAUGUUGAGGCCUUUGGAGACUAGUUGAGCAACCUGAGAAGUGAGGGCUGGACCGUUGUCUGACUGGAUGAAGACAGGAAGUCCAAACCUGGAAAUGCUCUGCUCAAUGAGGUCGGAGGCGACGGUGUCAGCAGUUUCCCUGGAGGUAGGGAAGGCUUCUAUCCAACUGUAAGAGAGUGCUAUCCCCAAAUCACAAACAGUUAAAUCCUGUGUCAAGGCCUGACCAAAGAGGUAGGGACUGUCCCUGAAGCCUUGGGGUAGGCCUGUCCAUGUCAGCUGUUGAGACCUAAAGGAUGUAGGGUCUUCCCAUGUGAAGGCAAAGAAGUCAGGAUGGAGGGGCACUGUAAAGAAAGCAGUUUUAAGAUCCAGGACAGUAAAGUGAGUGGUCAAAGGAGGGAAAUGAGAAAGAAAAGCGUGAGGGUUGGGAACCACCGGGUGGAUGAGAAUAACAGCCUCAUUAAUUAGGCGGAGGUCCUGGACUAAGUGAUAGGCUCCCGAGGGUUUGCGUACCAGAAAUAUGGGAGUGUUGCAGCGGGAGUCUUAGGGACUCAAAGGAAAUUUAGUUUGGUGUUUCAGAUGGAUACGGACGUGCUUGUAGUGGGAGGCUAUAACCAGCAUGGAGAUGUCCCAGAUCUGGGGAUCAACUGGUUCAGGGGGCAGUGGCACAGUAGGUACUGUCAGGUCAUUAGAGAGGGUAAGAAUUAGAGGCAGAAGGAGAAGAGUGGUUGUAUUUUUGGGGUGCAGUUGGAGGGUGGCUCCUAGUAAUCGGAAAACAUCUCUUCCUAGGAGAGGAACUGGACAAGAUGGAAUGACCGAAAAAGAGUGAGUGAAUGGGAGUCCCUCCAGGGCACAGGCCAGCUUAGCAGUUGGGUUUGGGGAGGAAGGUUUGCCAUCAAUCCCCAUAACUGAGACCUGGGAAGGAAACAGAGGCCUAGCAUGGGCAGGCAAGACAGAAUAGGUAGCCCCCAUGUCCACAAAUACGGUUAUGGACUUACCUACCCGCUGCCUGGAGCAUUACCCUGGGCUCAGCGAGGGUGAUGGGGGUCUUGAGUCUGGGCUUCUUCAGUCUUCUGCAAACCUCAAUAGUUCAGGAGAAGGACUGCCUGACUGGUCAUACCCCUGCGUAGAGGCGCCGAGGAAGGGCCAGCCAUGGGGCAGUCACUCUUCCAAUGUCCUGUCUGCUUACAGGUGGGGCAUGGCCUGGAGGGAGGCCGUGGGUCUGGGCAUUGGCGAGCCCAGUGACCUUCACAUCCACAUUUGAGGCAAGCCUCUGAAAACUUCUGAAACUUCUGCUGGAGACGUAGGCCUCAGGGCCGCUGCCAAGGCCUGGGUUUGGGGUGUUACCUUCUUUUCUGCAAUGGAGCCUGCUUUAAAGGCCAUUUUCACCAGAUCUCAGAUAGGGGUCUGAGAGUCCUCCUCAGCUCAUUUGAGCUUUUUCUAAUAUCAUGAGCCGAUUGAGUAAUGAAAUGGGUUGCUAACACUGUAGCCCUGGUGGGAGACUCAAGAUCCAGCUUAGUGUAUUUGGUUAGGGUCUCUCUCUGUAAGGCGGUUGAGAAAUAAGGCUGGAUUUUCAUCAGGAUUCUGGGUAAUUUCCUUCAGUUUAUCGAAGUAAACUACCUUAUUAGUUUUCAAUCUGGGAAAGAUCUUGAGAUGUGCAUUUGGAGUAUCCCUUCAGCACCAGCUACUUCCCUGAGAGGACACAGGAACUGUGGGUUAUCUGAUAAGAGGGAUCAGUGGGACCGCAGGAGAAGGGAGGGGUGAGUGGGUGGAGGUGAUCAUGGCUGUAGGAGAGGAGGAAGAGGAGAGGAGUGGAAGAGGAGAGGGGAAGGGUCUUAUCAGUAGAAGAGGUGAGCAGAGUGGGGGAGGAGGCUCCUAGGGAUCUGCAGAUCCCACCCACUGCAGCCAGGUGGGACCCAUUCUGCCUGCCUGUUGGAACCAGGGCAGCAGAGGGAGGCAUGCAUGGGGAGCCAGGAGGGAGGGAGGAAGGGCGCACCUGUCUGGUGGCCAGGCAGACUGGAAGCACGCAGACAGGGCUGCAGGCAGUGGCUGCAGAGGUGGCAGCAGGGAGGAGGAGGGGACACGGUACCACUGGGAGGGAGAGCAGACGGGAAGGACAGGAGCGAAGAACAGAGGGAAGGAGGCAGAGGGCAGGUUGGGAGCAGAGGGCAGGAUGGGAGCGAAUCUCAAAAAGCCUGAACAUUGUUUCCCACUUCCCUGCCCAGCGACAGAAAUUGUCCAACUCAGUGAGGGUUUAAAAUCAACAGUUCCUUCUGGGGGCCAUUGUGACCCAUUGUCUCAGUGCAGUAAAAUACCAGGCGGUUCUUGAAUGAGCCCUAACUUGGCAGAAUUUGAAUAUAGACACCCAAAGGACUUUGGGAUCUAAGGAGAGGACUCUGCAUUUCCCAUGACCUUCCGGCACCCUUGGGGGUGAGUGGGAGCAGAGAAAGGCGUCCCAAAUUCUGUCUGCACUCACCUACGGACAGAUACGGGCCAGGGCGGAGGUUGAGGCGUUCCUACAGGCUCCACGGGCCCCAGUGGUUAGCCAACCUGGUUGGCGGGGGGCUCUCAGGAGGACUGGGACGUCUCCACAGUCCCCGGAGCCCUGAACAGAACGGGCAGGGCCCAUGGCACGCGCGUGACUUAUGGAUAGACCCCGCGGACAGACAGAAAGAAAGGGUCUGGAAGGUCAGGGGAAAGGAGGAACUGACCUCAAUCCUGUCAGCCGGAUGAAGGGAGAGGGAAAGAGUGGCUUAGAAAUUUCCAGGUUCGUUUUAAGGGGGGAAGGGAUGGGCUUCAAUCCCCUGAGGGAGAAGCCCAAAGAUCCCUUCCCGGGUGUCGGCACCAAGAUGUCAGAGCAGUCGGGGCAGGCAAUGGCCAAAGGAGGCAGAUUUAAAAGGGCCGCUGAACAGUGAUAUUGAACCCUGAACAGUGAUAUUGAGAUAUCACUCCCGGGCGGAACUCGAUCAGACCCACAGAGGGGACAGGGGAAGGGUCUGAGGAGAAACCGCGUGGAGGCUCCACCGGACUGGACUUUUAUGGGGCUUACAGCAGGAAGGGAAGGGCUUGGGACAGGAAAAGGUGUUUCUAGGGUCCCUUGCCCCCUUGAAGUUGGUCAGGGGAGUUGGCUGAACUCCAGGACUGGCCAGGGGGUCCUGCUGAUUGACAGGCGUUAGUCAGGAGAGCUGGCUGAUUGACAGGUGUUGCCGCCGGCAUCUGAUUGAUGUUCUUUUCCCGCUCGGGCUGCUUUGUUCUAAGUCGCCACCAAGUCGCCGCCAAGUCGCCGCCACUGACCUAACAUUGUCGUCUUUUUUUUUUUCUCUUUUUGUGGUUUUUUUGUGG
rnacentral:lncRNA from 1 species